GACGAACGCUGGCGGCGUGCUUAACACAUGCAAGUCGAACGGUGAUCCCAGGAGCUUGCUUCUGGGUGAGCAGUGGCGAACGGGUGAGUAACACGUGAGUAACCUGCCCCUGACUCUGGAAUAAGCGCUGGAAACGGCGUCUAAUACCGGAUACGAGACGCAACCGCAUGGUUAGUGUCUGGAAAGGUUUUCGGGCUGGGAUGGACUCGCGGCCUAUCAGCUUGUUGGUGAGGUAAUGGCUCACCAAGGCGAUGACGGGUAGCCGGCCUGAGAGGGCGAUCGGCCACACUGGGACUGAGACACGGCCCAGACUCCUACGGGAGGCAGCAGUGGGGAAUAUUGCACAAUGGGCGAAAGCCUGAUGCAGCGACGCCGCGUGAGGGAUGACGGCCUUCGGGUUGUAAACCUCUUUCAGCAGGGAAGAAGCGCAAGUGACGGUACCUGCAGAAGAAGCACCGGCUAACUACGUGCCAGCAGCCGCAGUAA
rnacentral:rRNA from 1 species